rnacentral:tRNA from 1 species
GCCUGGGUGGCUCAGUGGUUGAGCAUCUGCCUUUGACUCAGGUCGUGAUCCCUGGGUACAAGGAUCAAGUCCUGCAUCAGGCU